CUGACGACAAGGAGUACGAAUGGUCGGAGCCAGUAUCAGGGAAGCCCUCUUCCCCUACCACCACCAACUGGGGGCCCAUAGGGCACUCGGCAGCCUCCAGCCCUGCGGUAGCAGCCUGUAACUCCGACGCGGCGGCCGCAGCGGCUGCGCCCUCUGCGGCUGCAAACUCCACUUGCACUGUAAGAUCGAUGGGCUUCACGUCUUCUCCAGUGGGAGUGAUGGGCGCCGGCUGCACGGAUCCCGGAGCCUGACUGCUGUCUACAGCGGCCUGAAGGGUGAGAAGCACGGCCGCGGAAGCAGAUACCAGGUUCGGCUGCAGCUGGGCAGUCUGGGCAGUGGAGGCAGAGGAUUCUGGGAUAGUGAACUCCACGGAAGACUCAGAAACCAAGUUCUAAUUCAGUUGCCAUGAAAACUUAAGGUGAGAGGAUUGUCAACCAGUGAAAAAUACGGAGGAAAACACUAACAGAAUAUGAUGAAGAAGCCAAGACUUGGGCUGCUUGCAUUACAUUAACCGAGGUUUACCCGCAGCGAGGCUGCCUCCAAAGCAUCCGGAGUUUGCAACCAUCACUGUCCACCCCGCGAGCUGCAAUAGUGCGAGA
rnacentral:sRNA from 1 species